GACGAACGCUGGCGGCGUGCUUAACACAUGCAAGUCGAACGGAAAGGCCCUUCGGGGUACUCGAGUGGCGAGCGGGUGAGUAACACGUGGGUGAUCUGCCCUGCACUUUGGGAUAAGCCUGGGAAACUGGGUCUAAUACCGGAUAGGACUACGCGAUGCAUGUCGUGUGGUGGAAAGCUUUUGCGGUGUGGGAUGGGCCCGCGGCCUAUCAGCUUGUUGGUGAGGUUACGGCUCACCAAGGCGACGACGGGUAGCCGGCCUGAGAGGGUGACCGGCCACACUGGGUCUGAGAUACGGCCCAGACCCCUACGGGAGGCAGCAGUGGGGAAUAUUGCACAAUGGGCGCAAGCCUGAUGCAGCGACGCCGGGUGAGGGAUGACGGCCUUCGGGUUGUAAACCUCUUUCAGCAGGGGCGAAGCGCAAGUGACGGUACCUGUAGAAGAAGGACCGGCCAACUACGUGCCAGCCGCCGCCGUAAUAC
rnacentral:rRNA from 1 species